rnacentral:lncRNA from 1 species
CUAAUUUUAAUUUUUGUAUUAAUUUAUUAAUUAAUCUAAUUAAUAUAUUUAAAUCAUUAUCUACUGCUUAAAGAGUUAAGUAAUCAAUUAAUUUAUCAUUUAUGGUUAAUUAACUCAUUAAAAAUUAAUUAUUUAAUCUGUUUAUCUAAUAAAUAAUAUUUAUAUUGCUCAGCUAAUUAAUAUUUUGACUAAUUAAAUUAAUUUUCUUAACAAAUCAUCUAACUAAUUAAAUAAUUUACUAAUUAAUUAAAAAGUUAAGUUAUAUUUUAUAAUUGAUUAAAUAAUUAAUGUAAUUAGUUAAUUCAUUAAUAUUUUUUUAUUAUCUUAUGCAAUAUUCAUAGCUAAUAAUUUUUUAAUUUAUUAAAUUAUUUUUAACUAAUAUUUUAAUAGCAAUUAAUUAGAUAAAAUAUUAUUAAUUUAAAAUUAUAAUUACUUUUGUUCUCGCUAUUCCAAUCAAAUCAUCUAAACACUAUUAUCUUAUUCCUGCAAACAAUCUAAUUUUCACCCAAACGAGAAAUUAUUCUUAUUCCUACUUAUUUUUUAAAUUGUACCUACAAUAAAAAAAGGUGUAUAGCGACAUUUUUAAAUGUUGGUACAUGUCAAAAAAAGUGUUGCUGGUUAAAUUACCGACACUUUUUAAAGGUAUUGCUAUAUGUGAGGUCGCUAUAUAUAAGACCGUCUUGAUGUUUGGCACCCACUCCUUCAACGACCUGCGGCAAAGAGACAUGUGGCAAUUGUAGUCCUCUACAGUCCCUGCGAGAUCCUCGCGGCCGAACUCCAGCCGCCGGAACCUUAUCCCGUCGGCUGCGGCGGCGGAGGAGGAGAAGGGGCCAGAGAUGGUGAUCAAUUUUUUUUUUUCUUUUCUAUUUGUAAUCAGACCGAGUGGGCUGGAUGGGGUUGGUUAAGUAGAGAAACUUUUUGUUUGUGAUUGGAUUGGGUUUUAGAUUUAGGUCUUAAUAGAUUUUUUAAAAAAGUUUGACAUAAAUGAUACACUUAUAUAAAAAUGUUCUAAAAAUAUAUCUCUAUAAUCUAAUUCUGUUGUAGUAAAUAAGUAAUUUUUGUUUAUUCCU